CGCGCGUUGGGGAUUUACAGAUUUUCUCCUCAGACAAGUGUUUCUGUUUUGUGGUCGAUUCUGGGAUCCUUUUCUUGGUGUGUCUUGAUGUUUUCUAUUGGCUAAAGACAUGUCUCUGUGAAACUGACAAUCUCAGGUAGGAGCUGCUGGUUUGUGGUUGGCAGUAUGGAUCACGGUCUGCGACUCAUGAGGAGCUGGGCUGGAGACAUGAAGAGGUUGUCAACAGGCCAUCCAUCCAAGAUCAUCUAUCUGAGCUGCAGAAAACUGCCUCGGUACGGAUCUGUUGGAGCUUUGUGUCACUGACUGUAUUUCUGCAAAUUCCUGUUCCGUGUCACAUGGCUUAUGCAAGACUGAAUCCAUAAAGGGGAUGGUCUGUGGAGACUGUGGGCGAUUCCUUCUGCUGUCAUUUAAACAUGAGCAGGAGUAAUGACGGGAUUUAAAUGGACGCAGCUAAUAUUAUGCCAGAGUCCGCUGCUUCAUCGAUUACCCACAGAAGAACUUCAUUAACCCAUUGGAGCGGUGUGGAUUACUUCUUUAAAGGCUGCACUUCUUUGGGAAAAUGUACCCUGAUCCAUGUUUUUUCCCAUAUUAAGCUCGGAAAAGCAAGGACAUUUACUAAAAUAACUCCAAAUGUGUUCGUCUGAACAUGUGUAUGUCGAGUUACUGAGUAUGCUGUAACCAUAAAGCAACCAGGACAACACACCUGGAGUGACCGAGAGCAGGAUGAAGAAAGAAUCGGACGAGAAAAUAUCAACUGGUGCCCAAGAGGAGACAUAUUGUUCUUGGACCUGCUUUUUCUGUUUAGUAAUAAGUGGUUUUAUGUGGUUACAUAAAAGUAAUUUUAAUAUUCAAUCCACAAGCUAAAUUUCCUACAUUUUCUUAAAAGGGUAGUUGACCCAAAAAGGAAAAUUCUGUCAUUUACACAAACAGUUUGGUUACAAACAUUUCUCACAAUAUCUGCCUUCCUGUUUAUCAGAACAAAUAAAUGUAUGCGGGUUUGUAACAACAUGAGAGUGUGUAAAUGAUGACAUAAUUUUCAUUUUUGGGUGAAGUACCCCUUUAACAUUUUUAUACCCAGGGGUAGGGGUGUGCAGCGGAGUCAGUAUUUGUAUCUGUAAC